UUGCGGUUAAAAAGCUCGUAGUUGGAUUUCUGUUGAGAAUGUCCAGUCCGCACAUUGUGCGAGUAUUUGGUACAGUCUUGGCAUCCUCCUGGGGAGCGUUGAUGUACUUGAUUGUAUGUUGCGUGAUUCAGGACUUUUACUUUGAGGAAAUUAGAGUGUUCACGGCAGGCGUUUGCCUUGAAUAUGUUAGCAUGGAAUAAUAAUAUAAGACCUCGGUUCUAUUUUGUUGGUUUCUAGAAGCGAGGUAAUGAUUAAUAGGGACAAUUGGGGGUAUUCGAAUUAACGCGUCAGAGGUGGAAUUCUUGGAUUGCGUUACGACGAGCUACUGCGAUAGCAUUUACCAAGGAUGUUUUCAUUGAUCAAGAACGAAAGUCAGGGGAUCGAAGACGAUUAGAUACCGUCGUAGUCUUGACCAUAAACUAUGCCGACUAGAGAUUGGAAGUUCGCUCUUUUUACGGCUCCUUCAGCAUCUUAUGAGAAAUCAAAGUUUUUGGGUUCCGGGGGGAGUAUGGUCGCAAGGCUGAAACUUAAAGGAAUUGACGGAAGGGCACCACCAGGAGUGGAGCCUGCGGCUUAAUUUGACUCAACACGGGAAAAACUUACCAGGGUCCAGACAUAG
rnacentral:rRNA from 1 species